rnacentral:misc_RNA from 1 species
GAUGAAGAACGUAGCGAAAUGCGAUAAGUAAUGUGAAUUGCAGAAUUCAGUGAAUCAUCGAAUCUUUGAACGCACCUUGCACCCUUUGGCAUUCUGAAGGGUAUGCUCGUUUGAGUGUCAUUGUACUCUCACACUCCCGAUCUUUGCAUUGGGAGCAGUGGACUUGGGUUUGCUGCUUCACCGUCGCUUACCUCAAAUAGGUUAGUGCAACUCUUGGUUGGACAUAGUACGGCGUGAUAAGUGUUCUUCGCCGGUGCCUCGCAAAGAGGGUGGCCGAUCGGGAUGUUGUGCUCCAAACCGUCUUCGGACAAUCUCUGACGACUUGACCUCAAAUCGAGUAAGUCUACCCGCUGAACUUAAGCAUAUCAUAAGCGGAGGA